AUGAGUGCGGAUGAGCCGAGCACUCGCAGAGGCAGCGCCACGACCCCGCUACACCGUCCCACCUGGGUCCCCUUCGCGGCCAGCCCUGGCACCACGCAGCCUGGCAGCGCUCCCAGCCAGCCAGCCCCGCUGCUGCCGACCCGCGGCCACGCUGCCGGCUGCGGGGACAGCCCUCGUCCCCCUCACCCGGGCACGGCAGGGGCAGCGUGGCUUGGCACGGGGACACGGAGCACAAUUCCUGCUGCGAUGAGCCGAGCGAGGGCUGGAACGCUGCAGUCGGGGCUACAGCACGAGCACCACGAGUGCUCUCGCACAUAUGGGCACUCCGCUCCUCCAGAGCGGGACGGGGACAGCAGCUCUCACCCAGCGAGGGCUUUCCUAAUGGGAUGGCACCCAGGUGCUGUGCGAGCACUGAGCACCCACCCCACGGGCGCUGCUCGGGGAUGGAGGCAGCGAGCGCAGGGAGGAGCGUGCCCGCACCCCUGCCUCGCUGCGCCUGCAUCCUGCCCGCUUUUGGGGUCGCUCACCCCAUGGAGCACCCCGGUGAGCACCCCAGGUGCCGCAGGCCGGACCCGGGGACAGGGCCGAGCCCCCGCGGGUGGGUCGGGUGCUGCCGGGUGCUGCCCUGUCCCUGCCCCCUCCGCAGGAUGUGCCGCUUUCUGCAUCUCCAGCUCCCAUUGCCAUAGCAACAGGCGCAGCGCUUGGGUACCCGCCGUGCCGGCGCCCGCAUCCCGCUCAGCCAUCCUGGCCCACCGGGGUGGCGGGCGCUGCCGGCACGGCACGGCAAGGCCAGCACGGCUUGGCACGGUGUUCGGGGAGGUUUGGGCCAUGGGUGCUUCUGGCACCACGCCGUGUCCCGCUGGGGCUGAGCAGGACGCAGGGAGCCCUCGGGGUCUCAGUGAACCGUCAGAAAAUCCCAGGCAGUUGGAACUUCUUCCCUGUAAUGGGGUGGGAAAGGGGAAAAAUCCCUUCGUCCCGAACAGGGUCUGGGUUCAGAGGGGCCCCAGCAGGAAAACCGAGGUCACGACAUCGCUGCUAAAGGGCUGCACGUCGGGCAGUACGCAGCGGGUGAUGCCCAGGCUGGAGAAGCGUCACCAUGGGGCAGAAACAGGCUGA
rnacentral:lncRNA from 1 species